UCAAGCUACAAAGAGCACAAGGGGAAUGCCUUGGCACCGAGAGCCGAAGAAGGACGUGACUAACUGCGAUAAGCUGCGGGGAGCCGUAAGUAGGCUUUGAUCCGCAGAUUUCCGAAUGGAGCAAUCCGGCAAGAGGAAAGUCUUGUCAUCAUAUACUGAAUACAUAGGUAUAUGAGGGGAACCGCCUGAACUGAAACAUCUAAGUAGGGCGAGGAAGAGAAAUCAACUGAGAUUCCGUAAGUAGUGGCGAGCGAACGCGGAAGAGGCCAAACCGAGAGUAGUAAUACUUUCGGGGUUCGGACAGAAUACGGCAUUGUAAAGGUUUAGUGGAAUGGAAUGGGAAGUCCAACCGAAGAAGGUGAGAGUCCUGUACACGAAAAGCCUGAACAGCCAUCUGUAUCCAGAGUACCGCCGGACACGUGAAACCCGGUGGGAAUACGGGGGGACCAUCCUCCAAGCCUAAAUACUACUCGGUGACCGAUAGUGAAGAAGUACUGUGAAGGAAAGGUGAAAAGUACCCCUGACGGGGAGUGAAAAAGAACCUGAAACCUUGUGUUUACAAGCACCGAAAGCUCAUCAAAGAGCGAUCGGGUACCUUUUGUAGAAUGGUCCGGCGAGUGAAUGUAACCGGCGAGGUUAAGCACUUAAGGUGUGAAGCCGCAGCGAGAGCAAGUCUGAAUAGGGCGUAUGAAGUCGGUUGUAUUCGACCCGAAACCGGGUGACCUACCCAUGGUCAGGUUGAAGUAAAGGUAAAACUUUAUGGAGGACCGAACCGACUCCCGUUGAAAUGGUAGCGGAUGAACUGUGGGUAGCGGAGAAAUUCCAAUCGAACCCGGAGAUAGCUGGUUCUCCCCGAAAUAGUUUUAGGACUAGCCUCAAGUUAGAUACCUGGAGGUAAAGCACUGAAUAGCCUAGCGGCCGAGAGGUUAGCGAAGCUUAUCAAACUCAGAAUGCCAGAGUAUUGAUGCUUGGGAGUCAGACAGUGUCAGAUAAAUGUCAUUGUCAAAAGGGAAACAGCCCAGAUCUACAGCUAAGGUCCCAAAGUCAGGUUAAGUGGAAAACGAUGUGAAGAUACGCAGACAACCAGGAUGUUGGCUCAGAAGCAGCCACUCAUUCAAAGAGUGCGUAAUAGCUCACUGGUCGAGCGUCUUUGCGCGGAGAAUUUAACGGGGCUAAACCUGACACCGAAGCUUAGGCAAUCCAGUAAUGGAUUGGGUAGGGGAGCGUUGUAUACGCGGAGAAACAGUAGCGUAAGCGGCUGUGGAGUGUAUAGAAGUGAGAAUGCCGGAAUGAGUAGCGCGAAUGCAGUGAGAAUCUGCAUGGCCGAAAGCCUCAGGUUUUUGGAGGAAGGUUCGUCCGCUCCAAGUUAGUCGGGAGCUAAGGUGAGGCCGGAAGGCGUAGCCGAUGCACAGACGGUAGAGAUUCCGUCACCACCAAAAGAGUUAAGCACAGGGACACAUUUGAAGUCUCAGAGCCGGGUGUUGGUUCCGGUAGAGAUCGAGGGAAAUUAGUACCGAAGUCUGAGAUGGAAGAUGGCGAGAAAAGCUGUGUGUAUUUCUGAGGUGCCCGUACCGCAAACCGACACAGGUAGGUAGGAAGAAGAUUCUAAGGCCAACGGGAGAAGGGUUGUUAAGGAACUCGGCAAAUUGACCCCGUAACUUCGGGAGAAGGGGUGCUCCAGAGAUGGAGCCGCAGAGAAUCGGCCCAAGCAACUGUUUACCAAAAACACAGGUUUGUGCUAAAUCGAAAGAUGACGUAUACGAGCUGACGCCUGCCCGGUGCUGGAAGGUUAAGAGGAGAUGUGCAAGCAUUGAAUCGAAGCCCCAGUGAACGGCGGCCGUAACUAUAACGGUCCUAAGGUAGCGAAAUUCCUUGUCAGGUAAG
rnacentral:rRNA from 1 species